GGUUAAGCGACUAAGCGUACACGGUGGAUGCCCUGGCAGUCAGAGGCGAUGAAGGACGUGCUAAUCUGCGAAAAGCGUCGGUAAGGUGAUAUGAACCGUUAUAACCGGCGAUGUCCGAAUGGGGAAACCCAGUGUGAUUCGUCACACUAUCGUUAACUGAAUACAUAGGUUAACGAGGCGAACCGGGGAACUGAAACAUCUAAGUACCCCGAGGAAAAGAAAUCAACCGAGAUUCCCCCAGUAGCGGCGAGCGAACGGGGAGCAGCCCAGAGUCUGAAUCAGCUUGUGUGUUAGUGGAACGGUCUGGAAAGUCCGACGGUACAGGGUGAUAGUCCCGUACACCAAAAUGCACAGGUUGUGAACUCGAAGAGUAGGGCGGGACACGUGGUAUCCUGUCUGAAUAUGGGGGGACCAUCCUCCAAGGCUAAAUACUCCUGACUGACCGAUAGUGAACCAGUACCGUGAGGGAAAGGCGAAAAGAACCCCGGCGAGGGGAGUGAAAAAGAACCUGAAACCGUGUACGUACAAGCAGUGGGAGCACCUUCGGGUGUGACUGCGUACCUUUUGUAUAAUGGGUCAGCGACUUAUAUUCUGUAGCAAGGUUAACCGUAUAGGGGAGCCGCAGGGAAACCGAGUCUUAACUGGGCGUUAAGUUGCAGGGUAUAGACCCGAAACCCGGUGAUCUAGCCAUGGGCAGGUUGAAGGUUGGGUAACACUAACUGGAGGACCGAACCGACUAAUGUUGAAAAAUUAGCGGAUGACUUGUGGCUGGGGGUGAAAGGCCAAUCAAACCGGGAGAUAGCUGGUUCUCCCCGAAAGCUAUUUAGGUAGCGCCUCGUGAACUCAUCUUCGGGGUAGAGCACUGUUUCGGCUAGGGGGUCAUCCCGACUUACCAACCCGAUGCAAACUACGAAUACCGAAGAAUGUUAUCACGGGAGACACACGGCGGGUGCUAACGUCCGUCGUGAAGAGGGAAACAACCCAGACCGCCAGCUAAGGUCCCAAAGUCAUGGUUAAGUGGGAAACGAUGUGGGAAGGCACAGACAGCCAGGAUGUUGGCUUAGAAGCAGCCAUCAUUUAAAGAAAGCGUAAUAGCUCACUGGUCGAGUCGGCCUGCGCGGAAGAUGUAACGGGGCUAAACCAUGCACCGAAGCUGCGGCAGCGACACUAUGUGUUGUUGGGUAGGGGAGCGUUCUGUAAGCCUGCGAAGGUGACCUGUGAGGGUUGCUGGAGGUAUCAGAAGUGCGAAUGCUGACAUAAGUAACGAUAAAGCGGGUGAAAAGCCCGCUCGCCGGAAGACCAAGGGUUCCUGUCCAACGUUAAUCGGGGCAGGGUGAGUCGACCCCUAAGGCGAGGCCGAAAGGCGUAGUCGAUGGGAAACAGGUUAAUAUUCCUGUACUUGGUGUUACUGCGAAGGGGGGACGGAGAAGGCUAUGUUAGCCGGGCGACGGUUGUCCCGGUUUAAGCAUGUAGGCUGAUUGUCCAGGCAAAUCCGGAUAAUCAAGGCUGAGGUGUGAUGACGAGGCACUACGGUGCUGAAGUAACAAAUGCCCUGCUUCCAGGAAAAGCCUCUAAGCAUCAGGUAACAUCAAAUCGUACCCCAAACCGACACAGGUGGUCAGGUAGAGAAUACCAAGGCGCUUGAGAGAACUCGGGUGAAGGAACUAGGCAAAAUGGUGCCGUAACUUCGGGAGAAGGCACGCUGGUGUGUAGGUGAAGUCCCUGCGGAUGGAGCUGAGACCAGUCGAAGAUACCAGCUGGCUGCAACUGUUUAUUAAAAACACAGCACUGUGCAAACACGAAAGUGGACGUAUACGGUGUGACGCCUGCCCGGUGCCGGAAGGUUAAUUGAUGGGGUUAUCCGUAAGGAGAAGCUCUUGAUCGAAGCCCCGGUAAACGGCGGCCGUAACUAUAACGGUCCUAAGGUAGCGAAAUUCCUUGUCGGGUAAGUUCCGACCUGCACGAAUGGCGUAAUGAUGGCCAGGCUGUCUCCACCCGAGACUCAGUGAAAUUGAACUCGCUGUGAAGAUGCAGUGUACCCGCGGCAAGACGGAAAGACCCCGUGAACCUUUACUAUAGCUUGACACUGAACAUUGAGCCUUGAUGUGUAGGAUAGGUGGGAGGCUUUGAAGCGUGGACGCCAGUCUGCGUGGAGCCAACCUUGAAAUACCACCCUUUAAUGUUUGAUGUUCUAACGUUGGCCCCUGACCGGGGUUGCGGACAGUGUCUGGUGGGUAGUUUGACUGGGGCGGUCUCCUCCCAAAGCGUAACGGAGGAGCACGAAGGUUAGCUAAUCCUGGUCGGACAUCAGGAGGUUAGUGCAAUGGCAUAAGCUAGCUUGACUGCGAGCGUGACGGCGCGAGCAGGUGCGAAAGCAGGUCAUAGUGAUCCGGUGGUUCUGAAUGGAAGGGCCAUCGCUCAACGGAUAAAAGGUACUCCGGGGAUAACAGGCUGAUACCGCCCAAGAGUUCAUAUCGACGGCGGUGUUUGGCACCUCGAUGUCGGCUCAUCACAUCCUGGGGCUGAAGUAGGUCCCAAGGGUAUGGCUGUUCGCCAUUUAAAGUGGUACGCGAGCUGGGUUUAGAACGUCGUGAGACAGUUCGGUCCCUAUCUGCCGUGGGCGCUGGAGAAUUGAGGGGGCUGCUCCUAGUACGAGAGGACCGGAGUGGACGCAUCACUGGUGUUCGGGUUGUCAUGCCAAUGGCACUGCCCGGUAGCUAAAUGCGGAAGAGAUAAGUGCUGAAAGCAUCUAAGCACGAAACUUGCCCCGAGAUGAGUUCUCCCUGAGACUUUAAGUCUCCUGAAGGAACGUUGAAGACGACGACGUUGAUAGGCCGGGUGUGUAAGCGCAGCGAUGCGUUGAGCUAACCGGUACUAAUGAACCGUGAGGCUUAACCUU
rnacentral:rRNA from 1 species